UCAUUAAAUCAGUUAUCGUUUAUUUGAUAGUACCUUACUACUUGGAUAACCGUGGUAAUUCUAGAGCUAAUACAUGCUAAAAAUCCCGACUCACGAAGGGAUGUAUUUAUUAGAUUAAAAACCAAUGCCCUUCGGGGCUCUUUGGUGAUUCAUAAUAACUUCUCGAAUCGCAUGGCCUUGCGCCGGCGAUGGUUCAUUCAAAUUUCUGCCCUAUCAACUUUCGAUGGCAGGGUCUUGGCCUGCCAUGGUUACAACGGGUAACGGAGGGUUAGGGCUCGACCCCGGAGAAGGAGCCUGAGAAACGGCUACUACAUCCAAGGAAGGCAGCAGGCGCGCAAAUUACCCAAUCCCGACACGGGGAGGUAGUGACAAUAAAUACUGAUACAGGGCUCUUUCGGGUCUUGUAAUUGGAAUGAGUACAAUUUAAAUCCCUUAACGAGGAACAAUUGGAGGGCAAGUCUGGUGCCAGCAGCCGCGGUAAUUCCAGCUCCAAUAGCGUAUAUUAAAGUUGUUGCAGUUAAAAAGCUCGUAGUUGAACCUUGGGCCUGGCCGGCCGGUCCGCCUCACCGCGUGCACUGGUUCGGCCGGGCCUUUCCCUCUGGGGAACCCCAUGUCCUUCACUGGGUGUGCGGGGGAACCAGGACUUUUACUGUGAAAAAAUUAGAGUGUUCAAAGCAGGCCUAUGCUCGAAUACAUUAGCAUGGAAUAAUAAAAUAGGACGUGCGGUUCUAUUUUGUUGGUUUCUAGGACCGCCGUAAUGAUUAAUAGGGACAGUCGGGGGCAUCAGUAUUCAAUUGUCAGAGGUGAAAUUCUUGGAUUUAUUGAAGACUAACUACUGCGAAAGCAUUUGCCAAGGAUGUUUUCAUUAAUCAGGAACGAAAGUUAGGGGAUCGAAGACGAUCAGAUACCGUCGUAGUCUUAACCAUAAACUAUGCCGACUAGGGAUCGGACGAUGUUAUUUUUUGACUCGUUCGGCAC
rnacentral:rRNA from 1 species